CUGCAGCCCGACUUGAGUGGAAAUCCUUUUUGUAGCUGGAAAAGCGCCGGCAAAAAGAUUGGGAACCGAAGGCGGAUAAAGC
rnacentral:misc_RNA from 1 species